rnacentral:lncRNA from 1 species
GUGGCCCAUGGUGCUAAAUUAACUGUUAACACAAAUAAUCAAAGUACAAGGCCCAUCAAGCCGCUGGCGCCAGCAAAAUGAGGGAGAGGCCAGGUCAGCCUUGCUCCAAAGAGCCAGGCCACUAGCAGGUGGAGACGAACCAAGGGACCGGACAGGAUGGAAGUGCUUACAGAACACAGUGACCAACUGACAGAGGAAAACGCCACUGCACUCCCGCCUUCCAGCUAUUGUGUGGGCCCAGGGUUUGAGUUCUUUGUAUGACUUUGAAAGGACAGAGGAUCUCAAGUCCAGUGAUAGAAGUCCAUGCUAGAAAUUUUCCAUCAGCAAAACCCAAUACAAGAGUGCUGCCCUAAGGAUCUACUUGCUUGAUUUCCACGACGGCAAAUUGAUGGGAUAGCUAAAACACCAUGCCUUAAAGACAAUGGAAUGAAUUAUCCAUCUGCUAGGCUACAUUUGAAUGUGAACUUGGUAAGGCACUUUCUGGCAAGUUUUAAGUUUGAAUUCACUCUUCUCAGAUAGAGGUAGAGGGAAGAGUAUGGCUCCUAUCACUGGUAUUGAUGAUAUUGAAGAGAUAUUAACUGGUGAUUGAUUGAUAUCUGAAAGAACACACUGAAUUGUGGGCUUACAUAUCGGUCUUAAGAAAAAUCUAAAACCCCUUUAUGUUAUCUUCCCUGAGGAAAAGCUGUGCUUUGAAGACUUAACCGUGUUGAUGUGAGUUGGAAAAAAGCUCACAGAGCCUAUACAAUAAUUUUAUAAGUGACACAUGUGUUUUGAAGGCAUUGAUGGUACAUAAUUAUUUUCAUCUCUGUAAGAAGCUCUCCUAAGAGGAAACUGCUUGUAUCAAUGAAUAUUAGCACCCUUUCUUCAAUUUAUGAUCUCAAAGAGUUCCCUAGGGGUACUGAGAAGUUAAGGGACUUGCCCUAAAUUAGAAUUCCUCAGCUUAUCUCUAGGAUGAUGUUUGAUAAUCUGGAGAGCAGCAAUAGGAGAGUCACUAGGAUCUUAAGAUGAAACCAUACGAAUAUUAACUGAAGAAACUAGAAACGUUUAGUCUAAAGAAAAGAAAACUUAAAAGAGGUAGGGAAUAGUAGCCAUGCUCAAGCAUAUGAAAGGUUCUCAUGUUGGGAAAGGGAUUAGGUUUUAUCUCCUUGGCCUCAGAGAACAGGAUUCAUAGCAAAGGUGAAAGUCACAGGGGCAAACUUUAGUUUUAUGUAAGGAAAAAUUUCCUGAUGAAAGCAAUCCAGAAUUGAAAUUGACUGCCCUG